CCUACGGGAGGCAGCAGUGAGGAAUAUUGGUCAAUGGACGAGAGUCUGAACCAGCCAAGUAGCGUGAAGGAUGACUGCCCUAUGGGUUGUAAACUUCUUUUAUAUGGGAAUAAAAUGUUCCACGUGUGGGAUUUUGUAUGUACCAUAUGAAUAAGGAUCGGCUAACUCCGUGCCAGCAGCCGCGGUAAUACGGAGGAUCCGCGCGUUAUCCGGAUUUAUUGGGUUUAAAGGGAGCGUAGGUGGAUUGUUAAGUCAGUUGUGAAAGUUUGCGGCUCAACCGUAAAAGUGCAGUUGAAACUGGCAGUCUUGAGUACAGUAGAGGUGGGCGGAAUUCGUGGUGUAGCGGUGAAAUGCUUAGAUAUCACGAAGAACUCCGAUUGCGAAGGCAGUUCACUGGACUGCAACUGACACUGAGGCUCGAAAGUGUGGGUAUCAAACAGGAUUAGAUACCCCUGUAGUC
rnacentral:rRNA from 1 species